rnacentral:rRNA from 1 species
UACGGAGGGGGGCUAGCGUUGUUCGGAAUUACUGGGCGUAAAGCGCGCGUAGGCGGACCUGCAAGUCGGGGGGUGAAAGCCCGAGGCUCAACCUCGGAACUGCCUUCGAUACUGCGGGUCUCGAGUCCGGGAGAGGUGAGUGGAAUUCCUAGUGUAGAGGUGAAAUUCGUAGAUAUUAGGAAGAACACCAGUGGCGAAGGCGGCUCACUGGCCCGGUACUGACGCUGAGGCGCGA